GCAUAUUCCCUGGCAUGUUUGUUCUUGAAUGCCCUGUCUGCAAUGGGAGAAUGUUUCUUCUGUCUGUCUAGAUGGUAAUUUCCUUGUGACAGAAACUGGAUCUUACAACAUGCUGGUGCAGAAUCCACUAAUGUGAUCCACUAGUACUGCUUCUUUAAAUUAAUGACAGGACCUUGCUGUACAAACCCCAUUGCUAACAACAGCACUGCUUCAAGACAUCUCUGGGUGAAGAAUCCUUCCUGCAUAUUUUUAGCACUGGAAAUUUAAAAGAUGAUGUAAUUGUUUUGAAGAACAGCUCUUCUUGUGGGGCCUAGAUGAUGAUGCCACAUUGCAUGGAUUUUUGGUCAUUUCAGACACCAACAGCGAAUCAGAACAUGACAGCUUGAAGAGCCAAACAUUGGACAGCCAACAGCAGAGGGGUUAUUGCCAUCACAGCAGUGCUGAUGGUUCAGGGAAGAGCCCCACAUUGCAUACCAAUGAAGAGAGAACCUUUCACUGUGCUCAGGAUGUGCUUGCAUUGCACAGGUUAGUGUACACUGGAGAGGCAAACUAAUCUGGGCACCAAAGUCAUGGAUCCACAUGUAGAUCCACUUGUUUAAAUAUACUUGCAGUAUCUCUAUCCUA